rnacentral:rRNA from 1 species
GACGAACGCUGGCGGCGUGCUUAACACAUGCAAGUCGAACGGAAAGGCCCUGCUUUUGUGGGGUGCUCGAGUGGCGAACGGGUGAGUAACACGUGAGUAACCUGCCCUUGACUUUGGGAUAACUUCAGGAAACUGGGGCUAAUACCGGAUAGGAGCUCCUGCUGCAUGGUGGGGGUGGGAAAGUUUCGGCGGUUGGGGAUGGACUCGCGGCUUAUCAGCUUGUUGGUUGGGUAGUGGCUUACCAAGGCUUUGACGGGUAGCCGGCAUGAGAGGGUGACCGGCGACAUUGGGACUGAGAUACGGACCAGAGUCCUACGGGAGGCAGCAGUGGGGAAUAUUGCACAAUGGGCGGAAGCCUGAUGAAGCAACGCCGCGUGCGGGAUGCCGGCCUUCGGGUUGUAAACCGCUUUCGCCUGUGACGAAGCGUGAGUGACGGUAAUGGGUAAAGAAGCACCGGCUAACUACGUG